AAGAGGUCUUGCCCGGGACUGCUACUCCCGACUACCGAAAUUAACACUUCGGGCCUCUUA
rnacentral:tRNA from 1 species